CAUAUACUCCCUCCGUCCGGAAAUACUUGUCAUCAAAAUGGAUAAAAGGGGAUGUAUCUAGACGUAUUUUAGUUCUAAAUACAUCUUUUUUAUCCAUUUUGAUGACAAGUAUUUUCGGACGGAGGGAGUAGUAU
rnacentral:pre_miRNA from 1 species